rnacentral:tRNA from 1 species
ACGCCGAAGGGCCCAAUUAAGGUGAGAGGGCAGCGAGGCUCAAGGGAUGAUGGUUUAUACAACGGGGUAAAUCGCCAUCCUGCCUUGGUGUAUAGUGCAGGUUCGAAUCCUGCCCGGCGUA